UACGUAGGGUGCGAGCGUUGUCCGGAAUUACUGGGCGUAAAGAGCUUGUAGGCGGUUUGUCGCGUCGUCCGUGAAAACUUGGGGCUCAACCCCAAGCUUGCGGGCGAUACGGGCAGACUUGAGUACUGCAGGGGAGACUGGAAUUCCUGGUGUAGCGGUGAAAUGCGCAGAUAUCAGGAGGAACACCGGUGGCGAAGGCGGGUCUCUGGGCAGUAACUGACGCUGAGAAGCGAAAGCGUGGGUAGCGAACAGGAUUAGAUACCCUGGUAGUCCACGCCGUAAACGGUGGGCGCUAGGUGUGGGUUUCCUUCCACGGGAUCCGUGCCGUAGCUAACGCAUUAAGCGCCCCGCCUGGGGAGUACGGCCGCAAGGCUAAA
rnacentral:rRNA from 1 species